CUUCAGGACCGUAAAGGAUGAUCAACAAUGUGGCUUUACAAACUUGUGUGUGCGUUUAUACUUUCUUCAUAAAAAUUGAUAGCUGAAAGUUACUAUGAAAGCAACAUCACUACAUGGAUGAAUGUGUCAUGCAAAUUGGGAGAACCGCAGCUCAAAUACCACAACGGAGUUUUUGAGGUUAACGAGACAUUGUCAAAUAGCGAUGACGUUUGGUUGGGAUACAUCUAUGCAAAGGCUGUGCAAGUCUGCAGGGCGAAAACGGGGUACACGUGCACGCAGUCGCUGACUGUUAUAAAAUAUGUGGAGGUGGACAAUUGGAAAUAAAAAGGACAAGUAAUGGGACAGUUUGCAUCUGCGUUUCGGGAUCUUUUGACACAAAUCAACCGAUAUGCAAAGGUGGUGACCGAAACAGCAUUUGCAAUAACUGUUCUGAGAUCUACACCCAGAUAAACGAUCUCACUGCAAGAGCCAUUGUGGAAAAAGUACAUUCGUAUGACUGGUCGACUGGGAAUAGAUUAUGCCUAACAAUUGGACGGCAUCCAUCAUUUGAACGCAGCAUAACAAAUGCCGGCUUUUGGGCCAUACACACACAAUACUACUGGACUGGGAUUUUCAGGGCAAACAUACUAAUACAACUCUCUUUGAAAGGUUUUAUAUUGCAUUUCUUACAUAAACACACAAUUUAGAAUGUGCAUUAAAGUCGAUUUCACAUAAAGAGAGGACGCUUUUUCAAUGAUUUUCAAUUUCGAUAUACGAUCAGUUAAUUUAGACAUAAAAAUAAGAACACAUCAUUUUGUUAAUCGCGCAAUAUCUAUAAUUCAUUCAAAGCACUUUUAAGCAUAUUUCAAGUAUAACUUACUUUAAUAUAAAGUCUCAAUGUUGCAGACCUCUUUUACCGAUCUGCAGCCGACAGUUAUGUGUUUGCAAACACCAGCAGUGUGCUACGUUGGAUUGCAAACACUGAUACCACGAAAAGAGCUCUUUGUGUCACAGGAAUGCAAUGUUGAUAUUAUUUGUGAAUUGUGACUCUAAGCAAAAUUAUAUUUUUAUUGAGAAUUGUAGACCUUUCCUAUCUAUUGAUAGCUCCAGUCGUAGACGACAUGAGAGAAAGUUAAGGCGUUUUGGAAAUAUUACGAGCGCUUUUUUAUAUAGUUGUAAUUGUCCUUAUAACCGCUCAUUUAGAGGUAACACGUAUUCCAAAAAAAUGUUUGAAAAUUCAUAGAAACCUUAGUGGCCAUUAUUUAACAUUGAGAACAGAUACAAGUAAUGCAUGUGUUCCUAUAAUACGUUAGUGUUUUUUUUAAUCUAACAAACGUAUCAGUAUAAGAUGUACGUACAUUAUGAAGGUUUUUUUUCAACGCAACCAUACAAUUUGUCAAUUAAUUCAAUAUAAUAGCAAAGGUAUAUUUUUAAUAAAAUAUGUGGGGCCAUUAAGAGGAAGUGCCUUCGAUAAAAAUAAAUGCUAAACUGUAUUAUGCACUGCAGUGCAUAAAAGCGCAAACUAUUACCGGUCAAGACACCAAGAAACAACCGAUUAUAUUACAGAAACUACGCUUGGCUCUACAAGGAGCUUGUCAACAACACAAAUACAUACGACUUUAACAACGGACUAUGCAUUUCCAACCAGUGAUGACGGAAUACUUACAGAAAGCAGACACACCAAUUCAGAAAAAUUACCCGCGCUGGGACUACGGAUUGGUGUUUCGAAGAGUGUUACCGUGUUGGAAGCCUAAAUCGACAGAAGGCCAAUCCAAACGAAAGUUUGGAGAAAGACAAGAAACGAAUUAUGAAGGCAUGAUUGACAGAAAUGCAAGCAAUGAUAGUUAUUGUGUACUUGGCGGAAAUGUUGAUUCGGACGUAGGGACCGUUAGCUAUACUAAUACACAAAGCAAUUUUAACAACACAGGAGAUACUAUUAUUUCAGAAUAUUACAAUACGGUUUCAUAUGAAAAUGUGCAGAAGGUUCAUACGUGAAGCUAUCUCAAAACUAAUUAAACGUUUUUUUUGUUGUGAAACACAUUUGUUCACUUCUUUGUUCUAAUUUAAGUUAUGUCAGCCUCAUGGAUUUCAUUUUACGUUCCAAAUCUAUGUACCAAUGUCUGUACUAUGCUUUUGUAUGAAGAUGUUUAUUUUUAUCUUUUAUAUGUUCUACACUAUUAAUUGUUUCUAAAUACGAAAAUGUAUUUUCAAAACAAAACGCCACGUUGUGUCUUGUAUCGACCUUCAUACAAACACCACAAUAACAAAUGACUAUGAACAUUUGAUAGCCACAUGCAAAGUGAAUGCACAUCAAUUUUAUUUUAUGUAUAACACACGCAUACAUGUAGUUUAUUUGGUUUAAUGCUUCUUUUAUACUGUUAAGGAUUCGUGUGUGCUACUCGAAAUUUCUUAACAGCACUAUGUUUCUAUCCUAUGUGUUAGGUUUUUUUCCAAUAACUUCCCUGAAUUUACAUAGAGACAAGUUUUAAAGUGUUCAUAGUGUGAUAAGGAACUGUAAAGAAACCUGUAUGCAUGAGGAAUAUAUUUUUUAUUAUUGUUUAUUAUGACGUUUACCUGUUAAUUAAAUAACAAGUCCACAUUAAUUUUAUAUAAAUUUAAAUCUUAUUAUUAAAUCAAUAAAUGUAAUUCAG